rnacentral:sRNA from 1 species
GGUUUACAGCAAGUAGACACAGCUGAUUAUAAAACAAUUGUUUCUAAUUUAUCUCUGCAUGAGAGUGAUUCAGUGUGAUACUGUGCCGUAGUAAACUAGUGGAGUUACCUGAACUUGUCAGUCUUUUAAUGUUGAAAGAAAAAGUGCUCAUGUCUAUCAGAAUGAUGUUGUUGUUUCUUUAUUCAUAUUUCUUAAAUGUAUUUACAGAUAUACAAAUGCCUUUUUUCUAAGUGUUAAUAAAAAUCUAUUUACAUCC